UAAUGAACUCUUAGAUUGUCGCUGGUCAAGUUAAUUCUUGGCAUCGUGCACAUCUUUGUUAUCCAACUACACACACUUGUGAACCUAUUGUAGAUCGCAAGAUCUAUGUCUUUCAUCACUUCUUAAACGUAUGUCUCAGAAUGUAAACCAAAUUAUUACAACUUUCAGCAAUGGAUCUCUUGGCUCUCGCAUCGAUGAAGAACGCAGCGAAAUGCGAUAAGUAAUGUGAAUUGCAGAAUUCAGUGAAUCAUCGAAUCUUUGAACGCACCUUGCGCCCCUUGGCUAUUCCGAAGGGCAUGCCUGUUUGAGUAUCAUGAACACCUCAACUCCCGUGGUUUGCCAUGGUGAGCUUGGACUUUGGAGGUUUUGCUGGCCCAUGGUCAGCUCCUCUCAAAUGAAUUAGCCUGCCAGUGUUUGGUGGCAUCACAGGUGUGAUAAAUAUCUACGCUUGCGAUUGCCCACCAGGUAACCUUCAGCAAUGGGGGUUCGCUGGGGCUCAUAGACGUCUCUCCCUCGGCGAGGACAGUUUUUUUAACGUUCG
rnacentral:misc_RNA from 1 species